GUUCUCGCUUCAGCAGCACAUAUACUAAAAUUGGAAUGACACAGAUUAGCAUGGCCCCUGCACAAGGAUGACAAUAUUUAAAAAAAAAAAAAGUGUGGUUCA